CCCCUCAGCUUCCUUUAGAAGAGUGCUCUGCUCAUUAAUGGCAAACAUGGCCACACCCCACAUUGCUACUGUCUCCAACUGGGUCCCCUGUCAGUUUUAGAAAUUUCCUCCUGUCAAGACCUUCCUUGAACUCUCACAGCUUUUCUUCUCACAGGUGGAACAGGAGGAGACUAUGCCCCUGCUCCAGCAUGAAGACAGCUGCCUGGAGUGGACUGAGUGACAGACGAUGUGUUCAGGUCUCUGCUGUGACAUCCAGAGUCCUCUGUUCUCUUUACACACCAGUGUCUGAUGUUCCCUCUGAUUUUGUGGGUUUGGUGUGAAGAACUGUGGAGCCCAGCCUGCCCCUGCAUUUCAGGGCCCUGUCUCUGCACUGCCCUGUGUUCUCUUCCACAGCCAACCUUCCUGCUCUGAAGUGGAAUACUCAGGGUUCUCGGGAAAGUUGUUUGGAUGGUGUUUUGCUGUGGCAAACAGGAGGAAUGUUUCCUUACAGUGGACACAGGUGUGAAAGACUGAGAUUGACUGGGGAAGGAAUGUUUCCCUCAGACAGACACAGGAGAGAGGAUGUUCUGCUAAAGCAAGCACAUGAAAGGACAUGCGAUGAAGGAGACUUUGCUCACAACAUGCAUGUAUUGGUCUGCCUUACAUUGCAUACUUGAGCUGUAUUUGUCACGGCUCCAUAGUGAGAAAUGCACCAAUUAACUUCUGGUGGUGUGCUGCAGUCUGUUGCUGCUUCCGAGGACUGUGGCUGACUGGAUGCAUGGGCUGAGCAAGACUCGUUCUGAGUCAAGGCACAUGGAGGACACGCGAUGUUCAGAGGGUAUAAAUAGGGCUCCACAGAGUGACUGACACAGAGGUUGUCUUGCUGCUACAGCUCGCAGUGGAACGCUUAUGAGACUUUGCUGAUCUCUGCUUCCCUGACAGAGGCCCAGCUGAGAACCUCUCCUGGGGUUCCUGUUGGUCUCUCCAGCUGACUCCUGCCAGGCCUGGCUCUCUCUGCUUGGUGAUGCCACUGUUGCUCACCUGACUCUACCAAACUGGACUGCUGGUGUACACGAGGUGUUUGCAAGUGGGUAGAGCUGCUGCCGACCUGUGAACUGAACUGAUUGCCACACAAUACACAUGUGGUCGGAAAGCUGCCCUGGGCUCUCCCUGUAGCCAGGGUUCUCAGGGUCUGGUGAGAUCUGUCUGCUCAUCUCUCAGGAUCACAUCCACAGCUGAGAUAAGACCUAACAGAGAUGCUUAUGUCCCCUGUAACUUAGGUACCGAUUCCUGAACCAGGACUGUCUUACCUUUUCCAUCUUGUGUUCUGGAGUUAACUCCCUGAAGUCUCUUAAUCUCCACCCCCAGCUCUGUGCACCUGGGUCUUGCAGCUAAUGCACCUGUGGUUGCUCUGCCUUUGGAUGGCUCUGUAUGGCAGGAGAGCAAAGUCCCCCUCAGAGGCCUGUGACCAUUUAAAUCAUCUCAUAUUCAUAGCACUAAAGACAUGGGAGGCAGAAGCUGAGGUAAAAACCUGACAGCUCAGCAAGGAAACUUUAUUUUCUUAACUACAUAUGGGAAAUCUAUUUACCAGCCUGAUGCUACAACUAAACUCCAGCUCUUCAGAAA